AUUGAACGCUGGCGGCAUGCCUUACACAUGCAAGUCGAACGGUAACAGGUCUUCGGAUGCUGACGAGUGGCGAACGGGUGAGUAAUGCAUCGGAACGUGCCCAGUUGUGGGGGAUAACUGCUCGAAAGAGCAGCUAAUACCGCAUACGACCUGAGGGUGAAAGCGGGGGAUCGCAAGACCUCGCGCAAUUGGAGCGGCCGAUGUCAGAUUAGGUAGUUGGUGGGGUAAAGGCCUACCAAGCCGACGAUCUGUAGUUGGUCUGAGAGGACGACCAGCCACACUGGGACUGAGACACGGCCCAGACUCCUACGGGAGGCAGCAGUGGGGAAUUUUGGACAAUGGGCGCAAGCCUGAUCCAGCAAUGCCGCGUGCAGGAAGAAGGCCUUCGGGUUGUAAACUGCUUCUGUCAGGGAAGAAAUCCUCUGGGUUAAUACCCCGGGGGGAUGACGGUACCUGAAGAAUAAGCACCGGCUAACUACGUGCCAGCCGCCGCAGUAAUAC
rnacentral:rRNA from 1 species